rnacentral:rRNA from 1 species
ACCAAGGCAACGAUGCGUAGCCGACCUGAGAGGGUGAUCGGCCACACUGGGACUGAGACACGGCCCAGACUCCUACGGGAGGCAGCAGUAGGGAAUCUUCCGCAAUGGACGAAAGUCUGACGGAGCAACGCCGCGUGAGUGAUGAAGGUUUUCGGAUCGUAAAGCUCUGUUGUUAGGGAAGAACAAGUACCGUUCGAAUAGGGCGGUACCUUGACGGUACCUAACCAGAAAGCCACGGCUAACUACGUGCCAGCAGCCGCGGUAAUACGUAGGUGGCAAGCGUUGUCCGGAAUUAUUGGGCGUAAAGGGCUCGCAGGCGGUUUCUUAAGUCUGAUGUGAAAGCCCCCGGCUCAACCGGGGAGGGUCAUUGGAAACUGGGGAACUUGAGUGCAGAAGAGGAGAGUGGAAUUCCACGUGUAGCGGUGAAAUGCGUAGAGAUGUGGAGGAACACCAGUGGCGAAGGCGACUCUCUGGUCUGUAACUGACGCUGAGGAGCGAAAGCGUGGGGAGCGAACAGGAUUAGAUACCCUGGUAGUCCACGCCGUAAACGAUGAGUGCUAAGUGUUUAGGGGGGUUUCCGCCCCUUAGUGCUGCAGCUAACGCAUUAAGCACUCCGCCUGGGGAGUACGGUCGCAAGACUGAAACUCAAAGGAAUUGACGGGGGCCCGCACAAGCGGUGGAGCAUGUGGU